AAAAAAGCUAGAGGAAGGCGUCCAGGUUCAGUGCACCCGAUCCCCGUCACUGCAGGAGAUCGAUACUGUCGUUCAAAGUUCAGAAACGCGGCCAGAUGACGAGUUUCAGAGCGGGUCAAAUUGGAGCGGGCUGAGCCUCCCAAGAGAUGCUCGCAGUAUAAGUAUCUUUGGUGGUGAAGCAGCGUCCCAAGAGGCGAGAUGACAUUCUUCUUCCUCAUGCCACCGUAAGAGGAGGAGGAGGAGAGGCCGUGGUCUCGCGUGGAGUUCCCUCAAUCAUCACUUCUUGGUUCUAGUCUGUCGUUGUUCGCUCUCGCUCAGGUAGGGUGGGGGAUUUUGCUGUUGUGAUCGACCCCCCUCGUGUUGUUCGUAGGGAUUCAUGGCAGAUGCGACUCCUUUUCUCCUCUUGGCUCUUGCUGCGUGUUGUUGCGGCAGCUUGAUUGUAUGUUUGUUGUAUCCAAGCAAAUAAAUGUUUGAUGAGUAGAGAAACUGCUUGAUCAUGUUCCUUGUCCCUUUUGAUUGUUUUUGUUUCUUUCGCUCUCUUGUCUGAUUGUGUGUGCGUGUAUGUGUUUCUCUACUCCCCAUCUGCAGCUGAAGAUGUUUCCAAUGCUGCAACGGUUCAUGAUCCAAUAUAUUCUGACGCCAUCCACGCCGUUUUGAGAGGGUACACUGGCCCAGUAUUCCUGAAUUUUACCUUGUCUUCGGCUAUGUUUAUCUAUCUGGUAGAAGGUAGGGGCCAUGAAAAUCAAUGAUUGCAUUCAUUCACCAGUUCGGCCAAUGAGAACACUUUUAGCUCACCAGCCCUGAGAUGCAACAAUAUGCAUCAACUUUGGACAUCUAAGGCAAUAACAUGUACAGUCAAAAGAUAUUUCCUGCAAAAUUGUGCAAUAUUACAAAACAGCGGAUCACAUCUUUUAAUAGUAGAUGACCCAAUUUUAUACUAACUUUGUACUAAAGUUAGUACAAAGUUGGGUCAUUUAUUUUGAAACGGAGGGAGUAUGACAGUAGGAAUAUCUCCCUUAGAAUGCACAAAAUGCUACCCUCUCUGUAAUUAAAUAUAAGUCGGCUCGUGUCAAGUCUCUAAAACGUCUUAUAUCAGUGGUACAUUAAAGAGAAAGCAAU
rnacentral:lncRNA from 1 species